rnacentral:rRNA from 1 species
ACCGCAUGAUAUAGUGGUGAAAGCUCCGGCGGUCAAAGAUGGGCAUGCGUGCCAUUAGUUAGUUGGUGAGGUUACGGCUCACCAAGACAACGAUGGCUAUGGGGUCUGAGAGGAUGAUCCCCCACACUGGUACUGAGACACGGACCAGACUCCUACGGGAGGCAGCAGUGAGGAAUAUUGGUCAAUGGACGCAAGUCUGAACCAGCCAUGCCGCGUGCAGGAUGAAUGCCCUAUGGGUUGUAAACUGCUUUUCUACAAGAAGAAACUUCCUGAUGUAUCAGGAACUGACGGUAUUGUAGGAAUAAGCAUCGGCUAACUCCGUGCCAGCAGCCGCGGUAAUACGGAGGAUGCAAGCGUUAUCCGGAUUCAUUGGGUUUAAAGGGUGCGUAGGCGGGGUAGUAAGUCAGUGGUGAAAGCCUGCGGUUUAACCGUAGAAUUGCCAUUGAUACUGCUAUUCUUGAGUGCAGUUGAGGUAGGCGGAAUGUGUAAUGUAGCGGUGAAAUGCUUAGAUAUUACACAGAACACCGAUUGCGUAGGCAGCCUACUAAACUGUAACUGACGCUGAGGCACGAAAGCGUGGGGAGCGAACAGGAUUAGAUACCCUGGUAGUCCACGCUGUAAACUAUGAUCACUCGCUGUUGGCGAUACAUUGUCAGCGGCUGAGCGAAAGCAUUAAGUGAUCCACCUGGGGAGUACGGCCGCAAGGUUGAAACUCAAAGGAAUUGACGGGGGCCCGCACAAGCGGUGGAACAUGUGGUUUAAUUCGAUGAUACGCGAGGAACCUUACCCUGGGCUUAAAUGCAGAACGACGUACCGGGAAACUGGUACUCCCUUAGGGGCGGAAUGCAAGGUGCUGCAUGGUUGUCGUCAGCUAGUGCCGUGAGGGAUCGGGUUAAGUCCCAUAACGAGCGCAACCCUCAUUGUUAGUUGCCAGCGAGUAAUGUCGGGGACUCUAACGAAACUGCCGGUGUAAACCGUGAGGAAGGUGGGGAUGACGUCACAUCAGCACGGCCCUUAUGUCCAGGGCUACACACGUGUUACAAUGGCCAGUACAAAGGGCAGCUACCACGCGAGUGGAUGCUAAUCUCUAAAGCUGGUCUCAGUUCGGAUUGAAGUCUGCAACUCGACUUCAUGAAGCUGGAAUCGCAUAGUAAUCGCGCAUCAGCCAUGGCGCGGUGAUACGUUCCCGGGCCUUGUACACACCGCCCGUCAAGCCAU